CUGGUUGAUCCUGCCUGAACUGAUGUGUUCAUUUCAAAGAUUAAGCCAUGCAUGUAUAAGUAUAAACGACUUGAUCGUGAAACCGCGAACGGCUCAUUAUAACAGCUAUAAUUUACUUGAUCUUGACAAUUUACUUGGAUAACUGUGGUAAUUCUAGAGCUAAUACAUGCACCAAAGCUCCGACCGUAAGGAAAGAGCGCAUUUAUUAGAACAAAACCAAGCGGCUUCGGCCGUUCAAUGUUGAAUCAUAAUAACUAAGCUGAUCGCAUGGUCUUGUACCGGCGACGUGUCUUUCAAGUACCUGCCUUAUCAACUUUCGAUGGUAGUGUAUCUGACUACCAUGGUUGUGACGGGUAACGGAGGAUAAGGGUUCGACUCCGGAGAAGGGGCCUGAGAAAUGGCCACUACGUCUAAGGAUGGCAGCAGGCGCGCAAAUUACCCACUCUCAGAACGAGGAGGUAGUGACGAGAAAUAACAAGACCGUUCUCUUCAGAGGCCGGUCAUUGGAAUGGGUACAAUUUAAACCCUUUAACGAGUAUCUAUGAGAGGGCAAGUCUGGUGCCAGCAGCCGCGGUAAUUCCAGCUCUCAAAAUGCAUAGAAUCAUUGCUGCGGUUAAAAAGCUCGUAGUUGGAUCUGUGCUGGCGGGUCGGUCCACCUUCGGGUGCGCACUGAUUUCGCCGGCUUUCCUGCUGUAUUUGGCCCUGUGCCUUUCAACGGGUGCAGUGUCCAGUGCAGCAAGUUUACCUUGAACAAAUCAGAGUGCUUCAAACAGGCGUUUCGCUUGAAUGUUCGUGCAUGGAAUAAUAGAAGAGGAUUUCGGUUCUAUUUUAUUGGUUUUAUAGACUGAGAUAAUGGUUAACAGAGACUAACGGGGGCAUUAGUAUUGCUACGUGAGAGGUGAAAUUCUUGGACCGUAGCAAGACUGACUACAGCGAAAGCAUUUGCCAAGAAAGUCUUCAUUAAUCAAGAACGAAAGUCAGAGGUUCGAAGGCGAUCAGAUACCGCCCUAGUUCUGACCGUAAACGAUGCCAACUAGUGAUCCGCCGGUGGAACAUUCGCCCUGGUGGGGAACUUCCCGGAAACGAAAGUCUUCCGGUUCCGGGGGAAGUAUGGUUGCAAAGCUGAAACUUAAAGGAAUUGACGGAAGGGCACCACCAGGAGUGGAGCCUGCGGCUUAAUUUGACCCAACACGGGAAAACUCACCCGGCCCGGACACCGUAAGGAUUGACAGAUUGAUAGCUCUUUCAUGAUUCGGUGGAUGGUGGUGCAUGGCCGUUCUUAGUUCGUGGAGCGAUUUGUCUGGUUUAUUCCGAUAACGAGCGAGACUCUGGCCUACUAAAUAGUUUACACAUUGGU
rnacentral:rRNA from 1 species